ensembl:misc_RNA Metazoa_SRP Metazoan signal recognition particle RNA
GCCGGGCGUGGUGGCGGGCGCCUGUAAUCCCAGCUACUUGGGAGGCUGAGGCAGAGAAUUGCUUGAACCCGGGAGGCAGAGGUUGCAGUGAGCCGAGAUCGCGCCACUGCACUCCAGCCUGGGCAACAGAGUGAGACUCUGUCUCAU